UACGUAGGGUGCGAGCGUUGUCCGGAAUUACUGGGCGUAAAGAGCGCGCAGGUGGUUGAUUAAGUCUGAUGUGAAAGCCCACGGCUUAACCGUGGAGGGUCAUUGGAAACUGGUCGACUUGAGUGCAGAAGAGGGAAGUGGAAUUCCAUGUGUAGCGGUGAAAUGCGUAGAGAUAUGGAGGAACACCAGUGGCGAAGGCGGCUUCCUGGUCUGUAACUGACACUGAGGCGCGAAAGCGUGGGGAGCAAACAGGAUUAGAUA
rnacentral:rRNA from 1 species